rnacentral:rRNA from 1 species
UACGGGGGGAGCAAGCGUUGUUCGGAUUUACUGGGCGUAAAGGGCGCGUAGGCGGCGCCGCAAGUCACUUGUGAAAUCUCCGGGCUCAACUCGGAACGGUCAAGUGAUACUGCGGUGCUAGAGUGCGGAAGGGGCAACUGGAAUUCUUGGUGUAGCGGUGAAAUGCGUAGAUAUCAAGAGGAACACCUGCGGCGAAGGCGGGUUGCUGGGCCGACACUGACGCUGAGGCGCGAAAGCUAGGGUAGCAAACGGG